GCCCAGACUCCUACGGGAGGCAGCAGUGGGGGAUAUUGCACAAUGGGGGGAACCCUGAUGCAGCGACGCCGCGUGGGUGAAGGAGCGUUUCGGCGCGUAAAGCCCUAUCGGCAGGGAAGAGGGAGGACGGUACCUGACUAAGAAGCCCCGGCUAACUACGUGCCAGCAGCCGCGGGAAUACGUAGGGGGCAAGCGUUAUCCGGAUUUACUGGGUGUAAAGGGAGCGUAGGCGGUUUAGCAAGUCAGAAGUGAAAGCCCGGGGCUCAACUCCGGGACUGCUUUGGAAACUGCCCGGCUAUAGUGCUGGAGAGGUAAGCGGAAUUCCUAGUGUAGCGGUGAAAUGCGUAGAUAUUAGGAGGAACACCAGUGGCGAAGGCGGCUUACUGGACAGUAACUGACGUUGAGGCUCGAAAGCGUGGGGAGCAAACAGGAUUAGAUACCCUCGUA
rnacentral:rRNA from 1 species